rnacentral:rRNA from 1 species
UGAACUCAGAUCACGUAAGAAUUUAAAAGUCGAACAGACUUUAAGUUUAAGCUGCUGCACCUAAAACUGUAUCUUAAUCCAACAUCGAGGUCGCAAUCUUUUUUAUCAAUAUGAACUCUCUAAAAAAAUUACGCUGUUAUCCCUAAAGUAACUUGAUUUCUUAAUCAUUAAUAAUGGAUCAAUAAUUCAUUAAUUUAUGUUUAUUAUAAAUUAAAAGUUUAACAAAUUUUAAUAUCACCCCAAUAAAAUAUAUAAAUUUAUAAUAAUUUAAUUUAUCUAUAUAAUUAAAAUAAUUUAUAUAUAAAGAUUUAUAGGGUCUUCUCGUCUUUUAAAAUUAUUUUAGCUUUUUGACUAAAAAAUAAAAUUCUAUUAUAAAUUUAUAUGAAACAGUUAAUAUUUCAUCCAACCAUUCAUACCAGCCUUCAAUUAAAAGACUAAUGAUUAUGCUACCUUUGCACAGUUAAGAUACUGCGGCCAUUUAAAAAAUUNNNGNGGNCAGGCUAGACUUUAAAUUAAAUUCAAAAAGACAUGUUUUUGUA